ensembl:lncRNA
AUUAUAAUUCCUGUGGUGAACCUGUGUUAAAUAAAAUAUUGGCAAAGACAAGCUCAGCCUCUGAGAAUAAUUUGUCCCCAAAACAAAACACUCACAUUCUAUUUUUAUUGGUGAGGCAAUGAGGUAGUGACUAGUUUGGGUGACAUGCCACCAUGGGAGUUCUUAUCCACUUUUACUCGGCUUAAUAAGUUUUGGUGGUGAGAUCGUAUGAGCUUUGCUCACAAUUACCAGGCUUCCUGAAUACUUAAGUAAGCAAGGAGUUAAGUAUGAUCAGGUAUGAGUUAAGCAUAUUCUUCUGCUACACUUCACUGUUGAACUUAACCAAGGCUUUUCUUAUCCUGCUUUCAAGAAAAGUGCUUUCUCAUUCUGGUGCUAAAAGCAUCCAAGGUCUUCUUCCCAGAUGCUGCUUCUUUUGUCUCUUUCUCCCGAUGCAUCAAUUAAGAAUUCUUUGAUGACCGGAGCUUCCUCUGUCAGAGAGCUCAGUAUUCAUCAACUAAUUAACUCUCCAAAGAAAGCUGAGCUGCUCUGUCUGUCUGUGCUUUCUUACUCUCUCGGUGGCUCUUCUGCUUCCUGCUUCCUGCUGUGGCCCGAAGAGCAAAGUGGGGAGAUCACCCUCAGGGGCUGUAGGGCCUCAGGCUUCAGUUCAUGCUUUUGUUUUUCUAGUUAGGAGAGACCUUCCUUGAUAAAAAGCUAUUCAUUUCAUUACUCAGCCUUCCACAGAAGCAAGGUUCAAGCAGUUUUUUUCACCAAAUUUUUUUCUUUGUUAACAGUACUUUAAAGAAAAACAACCCAUAUUUGAAUAGAUUAGAACAACCUUCAAAUGGAUUAACAGUGUUUUUUCCCCAUUUCUUGUAUAGUAGAAUUGUUAUUUUUCAGCUGGCUUCAAAAUGUCAAAUCUCUUGUCUAGAAUGAAAACCCAGCACUUGGAAGAUGUCAGCAUUCUUCAUACCAGAGAAGACCACCUGAGGCCAGACUAAAGGAACUGGAGAAGCUCAUCAAGAUUACCUGGGACCACAUGUAGGGAAUGCAGAUCCUGUACAUGCUCUAAUCAUAUAAGCAACCCCAUCCUUGAACUAUUGCCAUAAAACUCCUCACCAAACUACCCUGGAUGGGGAGACACAGUUUUUGAGGAUAGGAGCCCACUGUGUCCCCCUCCUUGCCUGGCAAACCAUAAAACAAUUCUUUUUACUGCACCAAAACUCUGUCUCUGAGAUUUGAUUUGGUACCAGUUUACAGAGGCUGAAACUUGGCAUUAGAACCUCUCAACUCCCCCAACACUGGAGGGAGUUCCUCACUGAAUGUGUUAAUGGCGCUAUCGUCCUCCCAGUCACCAGGCUCAAAAUGCUGUCAAUUCCUCCCUUUCUCUUCCUCUCCACUCAUGAACAUUUACCAGGUCAACAAAGACUUGUUACCCUUUGUCUUCAUCCCCUAUUCUCUGUUCUGCUGCCAUUUGCUUCUUUCAGUCCUUCUUUGCCUCUAUUUUCAGAUUAUCCUUGUGGCUUCUUACCUAGGUGCUGCUUGCCUCUCAUUUCCGUAAGGAUGUGUGGCCAAGUUCAUUGUCCUGUAGAGGCUCCGAUCGUGUCACACCCAACAUCCAAUCUGCUUUCCUGUGACCUACAGACUAAAGGCAGACACCUCAAAUCACUUCCUGCCCUACUGGAUGUAAACAAAUACAAACACAACACAAACCAGCUGAGAAGCAAACUCCCCCAGAUCAAUCUAUGCCUGGCCCCAGUACAACUUCCCCCAGCUCUUGUUCAGACUCGCUUCCAAUAGAACUGAACUGCAGGGUGCUCCUGCGAUGAGAGCACAUUCUUAACUCCAUAAGCUUGUGCUAUUCUC